rnacentral:rRNA from 1 species
UGUGGGAAGAAGGCCUUCGGGUUGUAAACCACUGUCGGGAGUUAAGAAGUGCAAGGGUGCGAAUAGCGCCUUUGCUUGACUGAGGCUCCAGAGGAAGCCACGGCUAACUCUGUGCCAGCAGCCGCGGUAAUACAGAGGUGGCAAGCGUUGUUCGGAAUUAUUGGGCGUAAAGAGCACGUAGGCGGUUCUGCAAGUCGGCUGUGAAAGCCUUCCGCUCAACGGAAGAACAGCAGUUGAUACUACAGGACUAGAGUGCGGGAGGGGAGAGUGGAACUUCUGGUGGAGCGGUGAAAUGCGUAGAUAUCAGAAGGAACACCGGCGGCGAAGGCGACUCUCUGGUCCGUAACUGACGCUGAGUGUGCGAAAGCUAGGGGAGCAAACGGGAUUAGAUACCCCGGUAGUCCUAGCCGUAAACGAUGGGCACUAAGUAGAGGGGUUUU